GAAACGAAACUUCUUGGCCAAAAUCUCGUAUUAUUCGUUUGUAUGUUGUGUGUCAAUGUUCAUAUUUUCUAGUACUUUUAAUUUGCUACACCAUUUCAAAAUGAGGCAGGCAUUUGUGUUCACUCUAGUAAUUGUUUUAAUAUCUCAAUUCAAUAGGGACCAGGCAACGGAGUUGCUGAUUGAAUCAGCUGAGAGUCGAUUGUUGGACCUGAGAGUUGCUGGCUCCACUGACGUACAUAAUUCUUCGGAUGGUCCUCAUGAAAUCUGCAAACAACUACAUCAAGAUGGAUUUCAACUUUCAAUGAAUGCGAAUGGACCAAGCAUAAAAUCUUUAUGCGAUGGAUUUAAGAACAAGCAAGAAGGCAAGUGUAUAGUUGGCAGAUGCGAGUGCCCAGAAGAACGGCAAUUCUGCACAAACAACGCAGAUUCGAAGAAAAAAUUUCAGAAGCCCAUUAUUUAUAAUGAUCCUACAGAGCAAUUCGGAAAGACCAUGAAAGUACCUACAAAGAAAAGCAGCGCGUAUGAAAGUAACUCAGAACGUGAAAAAUCUGACUGGGUAAAAGAUGAGUAUAAAAGAUGGGCAAGAGAAACAUUUUGGUGUAUAUUGUUGCUUUUAUAUAUAAUCACUACAGCUAUUGGCGUCUUCGUUUAUUAUCCACACGAUUGGACUUCGCAGAUUCUCUUCUUUAUUGCGAAUCUUAUUCCUUUGAUAAGUUGUGAAACUGAAUACUACGAAUAUGCUGCUUUCCGCAUUGUUUUAAAAGCAAACAUUCUAUUCUGCAUGCUACAACUACUUUUCAUACUUUACUCUUUUCUGUGUUUGCAUCGCGAGAAAAUUGCGCAAAAACUACACCAUUAUCAUGAAGUCCUUCUUAUACUGGAACAACUAGAACAUGAAGCACCUCAACCCGACAACCGUACUCUAGUACCUCGAACCCCACACACAGGACGAAAACUUUUUCAUUAUGGCAUCGAUCAAUAGAGGUUAUUCAGGACGUUUCGAAGCACUAAAAAUUCAAUUUUCAAAAUGGGAACCAAUAGUUGAAUGCUUCUGUAGAUUGUGGAUUAUUACUAUGAUCCGUUCAGCUAUUGUCUUGCUCUAUGCUCAUACAGUCUUUGAUGUGGAUGUACUUCGAUUCGUUUUUGUGCACUGUGUUUUCUUGACAGCGUUUAAUUGUAGUUACGUAAAAUAUGGUUUCCCAAAAGUAAUUUUAACACUGGACUUAGUAUUAAGUAUAUUUGGUGCAUGGUCCAUAAUGGAUUUUAUAAGAAUAGUAGUGUACGCCCGUCAGCACGAUUGGUACGCAGUAAUGUAUGUGCCUUUCCCUUAUGUACAUCUAGAAAGAAGAUAAGGGUAAAUCAGAACCUGAAAUUCUUGCUGGAAAAGAUGAUUUUGAUGCUGCUUUUAUCACCCGAUUUCAAGCAUACCUUGAUCGCUCAUUUAUCGUAUGGGUUUCUAUCAUGCUAGUUACAGCUAUUUUGAUUGCUCUUUUUGGUAGAAAGGAUUGGGCGGCUUUAUUUAUGUUUAUUGUUGUAAAUGGCUUUUGCUUCUUAUAUUUUAAUUAUUAUUACUACUUAUAUGGAAUUCCAGAAAUGAUUUCUUGGGUGGAUAUAACAGUAGUAAUUCUACUAUUUGUUUUCGUUAUAUGUCCCUUUGUGUGUGGGGUGUAUCGCAUACUUACAACAGAUCCGCGCCAUAAUCAUGCGAUUUAUCAACCUGAACCACUAUUCUAUUCACCAGUUCAACCCCGUCACGGUCAUGAACCGCGACCUCGACGAAGAAGGCAUCUUUAGAGGUAAAUUCAGAUUUGUUCUCGCUAAUCAUAGACGAAACGAAACCUUUUCUUAAAAAAUGGGAGACACCAGCAAAAGUUUUCUGUUACACGUGGUCUAUUAGUUUAAUAGUUUUAGGGUUGUUCAUUUUCUUUGGCAACCCACGCUAUCCGUUUAUGAAAAGUCUAUUCUUUUUCGGCAAUGGCUCUAAUUUGCUAUUUCUUAAUUUUCUUUUUCACGAAUGUGGGGUUGUACAUUAUCUUAUUACCGUGAAUAUAACAUACAGUGUUUUCAUCGGAAUUUUUAUUUUCCAAAGUUGUGCUACUUUGAUAUUCGUAUUACUCAGGCGAAAUGAGCAACGUCAGCAUCAGCGUCAGCCUCAGCAAUAUCAACGUGUUCCUCCAGAACCUUUAGGGCGAGAAGUUUUUAGACGAAGAAGACGCCAUUAGAUAUAGCUCAAAUUUGGUCAAUGUUAAAACUAGACGAUCAUUUGAAAUGAAAUGAAUGAAUGAAUGUUUCUGUUGCCUUAUCGUCUGUUUGCCAGAAGCGUCUGCACUAUCGUUAAUGUUGAAUGGGUUCCACAUAAAGUGUCAUUUGUCUUGAUCGCUUGUCCAUUUUUGUGUUUCAGCUUCUGUAACAAUAGAGAGAAUUUGAUGUAAAUUCGCUAACUCCAUACUAAAUUAUAUUGUAUGUUAAUUCAUUUGAAUUGAGUCUGACUACAUAUGUAAGGGUACUUAAUACUUUUAGAUCGCUACAUAUUUUAUUAUUUAUUAGUCUUGCUUUCGCGAAAAACUAUUGAUCCCGUAUUUGAGACGUAAACGGAAUCAAUAGAAUUCAAAUUGCUGCUGGAUUACUUGAAUAAAAAAAGCGAGAUAUUUUUACAAAUUUGGCAAAUGUGCCAUAACAAGACAGUUACACUUUUCUGUCGAUUUCAUAAUAUUGAGAAAACAACAGUACCUACGGCUAUUUGAUGACAAUGCAAAUCAUAGACUUUUCAAAUUUAAUUGAGCUAGCGUAUUCUAGUACUGUGGCUCUGUGCAGCGGUCGUUUUUGUACUUCUUUGGUUAAGCUACAAGUUCAUUCCAAAUUUGCCCAUUUGGUCUGUGCCAAAAAUAUACAAAGUGUUCAUCAUAAGCAUAUCUGAAAUUGUUCAACAUCGGCUACUAUUCUUGUAUACAUACUUGCGAACUAGUCAGCAGCUUGGUGUAUUGCUAGCGUUUUAUAUUUCUGUUUUUUCAUUAUUGACUGCAAUAGUAUAUUUAUUUGCCUUAUAUAACUCAUAACGUCAGACAAUAUCAAAUCAUUCUUAGCAAAAAAGUUUUUAUAUUUAAGUGUUUGUCAUGAUUUUCCAUCAGUUUAAUAGCUCCUUCUAAGGUUUACAGUUUUUUCAUAUUACCUACUGUUGUUUGUUAUAUAAUUGAAAGAAUGUAAAUGCGGAGUUAUUGUGUUUGAAAAUAUAUUUUACUUCUAUUA